CCUAACAGGUAGUUGGUGAGGUAAUGCUUAACAAGCCAAUAAGGGGAAGAGUUGGAUGAAAGUCUUAAACUCGACAUUGGAAAUGAAAAAGUCCAAAGCAUCAAUCGAUGCGCAGCAGUGAAGAAUAUUGGUCAAUGCACUAAAGUGUGAACCAGUAACCUAGAUUAGAUUCACCAUGAUCUAUAACGAACUUUUGAAUGAUGAUCUGAGUUCUAUUAGUCCUGUCUAAAUUCUGUGCCAGCAGACGCGGUAAGACAGAAAGGGCAACCCAUCGGAGUUAUGAAUUGGUGUAAAGGGUACGUAGCCGGUAACGUUAAGUUACUAGAGUCCAAUAGAAGUAAGAACAAUACCUAGAGUAGGGCUGAUAUCUCAUAAUACUAGGGGGAGAGCUAAUGGCGAAAGCAUCUUACUAAGUAAGGACUGACGGUAAGGUACGAAGGCUAGGGCAUGAAUAGGGAUUAGAUACCC
rnacentral:rRNA from 1 species